UACGUAGGCAGCAAGCGUUGUUCGGAGUUACUGGGCGUAAAGGGUGCGUAGGCGGUCCUAUAAGUAUGGUGUGAAAUCUCCCGGCUUAACUGGGAGGGUGCGCUAUAGACUGUGGGACUAGAGUGUGGGAGAGGAAAGUGGAAUUUCCGGUGUAGCGGUGAAAUGCGUAGAUAUCGGAAGGAACACCUGUGGCGAAAGCGGCUCACUGGACCAUUACUGACGCUGAGGCACGAAAGCUAGGGGAGCAAACAGG
rnacentral:rRNA from 1 species